UACGUAGGGGGCAAGCGUUGUCCGGAUUUAUUGGGCGUAAAGAGCGUGUAGGCGGUUCGGUAGGUCCGUUGUGAAAACUCGAGGCUCAACCUCGAGACGCCGAUGGAAACCAUCUGACUAGAGUCCGGAAGAGGAGAGUGGAAUUCCUGGUGUAGCGGUGAAAUGCGCAGAUAUCAGGAAGAACACCGGUGGCGAAGGCGGGUCUCUGGGCAGUAACUGACGCUGAGGAGCGAAAGCGUGGGGAGCAAACAGG
rnacentral:rRNA from 1 species